UUUCAGAAUGAUCCUAUUGUUCAGUAGGAGUAUAGAAUAUAGAAUGUCUUUAGCAGGAGAAUGGAUGAUGCAGAAUAGAAGACCAUAGAUGAGGCAGCUACCUGGAUUUCUGUGACUCACCCUUCCCAUCUUACUGCUCAUUCAGAAACGGCUCAGAUGCUUUUCCAGCUGCUUCUUUCCCCAUCCCUAAUAACAUCCUGACCAUCAAGCAAAAAGCCAGAAGAAUAUUUAAAGAUGUCUGUGAAGAUUUGGAAAGCUUAGUGAGUGACUAUACCAAAAGCAUAAAAAAUGGCCCUCUCUCUGUGUCACAGGAGGCCUCGGGCUUACCGUGAGAGAGCUCUGCAUUUAAUUGCUUUGUAGGCUAAUCCAUACCUCCAUGUCUUUCAAUAUGACUUCCAUAAAUCUCAAGCAACUAAGAAUUUCAGUGUGCACUGUCUGGCAUCUGAUGCUGAAAACUACUGAUCGGGUGACCUGAGCGGGGUUUAAUGACUACUGUGGGAGAAUUUUGUUGAAUUAUAACCACCUGCAGAAUGGACAGAGCUGCUAUUGGCCCACGUGUCUCUGAGUCCAAGGAAAGGAAUGCCACUUCAUAAAUAACCUUUGCUAAGAUGGCAAACAAUGUUUCCUGCAUGUUCUGACAACUACCCAUGAGUGGUCUGUUUCAAUGUUUCAAGUUCACCAUAAAGUUUCUAGUCGAUAUAGAAUGUCUUAAAGGACACUGACUUCCACAGAUUAUUCCUUCUCUUUAUUAGGAGUUCUGUUUGUGACCUACUUUGAAAAAAAUUAUCAUAAAGGAUCACCUAAUUAAACUCAGAACAACUACAAAUGUUUGCCGUAAGUGGUGUUGGGUUGAUCAGUCAACAGGUUGAUGGUUCCCACUAGGAGAAGGGGCUGUGUGGGAUUUA